CAGACAACCAGUCCAGCGGUCCAAGGACAGACAAACAGAGAUGGACGUUCACCUGGACAUGGAUCACCUGCUGCUGCUGCUGCUGCUGUGGAGCUCAGGGCUCUGGGCUGAAGGAAACCACCAAUCAACAGACUCUGUCAGGCUGGUGAAUGGGACCAGUCUGUGUUCAGGCAGACUGGAGGUGAAGACUCAC